GAGAUAUUAGUAAAAUAUUACAUAACUUUGUCAAAGUUAAGUUACGAGUGAAAACCUCGUAUAUCUCC
rnacentral:tRNA from 1 species